rnacentral:rRNA from 1 species
AUUGAACGCUGGUGGCAUGCCUUACACAUGCAAGUCGAACGGUAACAGGUCUUCGGAUGCUGACGAGUGGCGAACGGGUGAGUAAUACAUCGGAACGUGCCUAGUAGUGGGGGAUAACUACUCGAAAGAGUGGCUAAUACCGCAUGAGAUCUACGGACGAAAGCAGGGGAUCGCAAGACCUUGUGCUACUAGAGCGGGCGAUGGCAGAUUAGGUAGUUGGUGGGAUAAAAGCUUACCAAGCCGACGAUCUGUAGCUGGUCUGAGAGGACGAUCAGCCACACUGGGACUGAGACACGGCCCAGACUCCUACGGGAGGCAGCAGUGGGGAAUUUUGGACAAUGGGCGCAAGCCUGAUCCAGCAAUGCCGCGUGCAGGAUGAAGGCCUUCGGGUUGUAAACUGCUUUUGUACGGAACGAAAAGCCCUGGGUUAAUACCCUGGGGUCAUGACGGUACCGUAAGAAUAAGCACCGGCUAACUACGUGCCAGCCGCCGCCGUAAUAC